UAUGGAUAUUUGGUGUCUCGUCA
rnacentral:siRNA from 1 species